rnacentral:rRNA from 1 species
GUUAUAUGGUCAAGUGAAGAAGCGCAUACGGUGGAUGCCUUGGCAGUCAGAGGCGAUGAAAGACGUGGUAGCCUGCGAAAAGCUUCGGGGAGUCGGCAAACAGACUUUGAUCCGGAGAUCUCUGAAUGGGGGAACCCACCUAGGAUAACCUAGGUAUCUUGUACUGAAUCCAUAGGUGCAAGAGGCGAACCAGGGGAACUGAAACAUCUAAGUACCCUGAGGAAAAGAAAUCAACCGAGAUUCCCUUAGUAGUGGCGAGCGAACGGGGAUUAGCCCUUAAGCUUCAUUG